rnacentral:rRNA from 1 species
ACGUUGGAUACUGGAGCGGGGAAGGAUUUCGUGCCAACGGCACUCGUACACGAGUUGUUCGGAUACUGAGCACAACGUUACACCGUUUUGUUAGGAAAGUGAAGGUGCGUCGGCGGCGUGCGUUUUUUUUUUGGUUUUGUUUUUUUUUUUUAAAAAAAAAAAAAAAAAAGGCGCCCCCCCCUGGGCCUUUUUGAAAAGGGGGAAAAAA